rnacentral:rRNA from 1 species
AACGAACGCUGGCGGCAUGCCUAACACAUGCAAGUCGAACGGGAUCCAGGCUUCGGCCUGGUGAGAGUGGCGGACGGGUGAGUAACACGUGGGAACCUGCCUUUUUGGUUCGGGAUAACCGCGGGAAACUGCGGCUAAUACCGGAUGCUCCCGAGAGGGGAAAGAUUUAUCGCCAGAAGAGGGGCCCGCGUCCGAUUAGGUAGUUGGUGAGGUAAUGGCUCACCAAGCCGACGAUCGGUAGCUGGUCUGAGAGGAUGAUCAGCCACACUGGGACUGAGAUACGGCCCAGACUCCUACGGGAGGCAGCAGUGGGGAAUAUUGGACAAGUGGGGCAACCCGUGAUCCAGCAAUGCCGCGUGAGUGAUGAAGG